UAUACUAUACUUUCGAGAGUCAUUUCUAUAGUUUGUUACUACAGAAGUUUCUCUGAUCAUAUAGAGCACCCAAAAUUAAGAGGAGGAACCAGAAUAUCCUGAGCAUGAAGCCAGUUCUAUAUGUUGCUUUUGCAAUCACCUUUCACCAUUGAUGAUCAUUCUUCUCUUCCCAUGGAAGACUGAGAGGAAGAGAAUGCAGUCUCAGUGGU